rnacentral:rRNA from 1 species
UGGGGAAUUUUGGACAAUGGGCGCAAGCCUGAUCCAGCCAUGCCGCGUGCGGGAAGAAGGCCUUCGGGUUGUAAACCGCUUUUGUCAGGGAAGAAAAGGUUCUGGCUAAUACCUGGGACUCAUGACGGUACCUGAAGAAUAAGCACCGGCUAACUACGUGCCAGCAGCCGCGGUAAUACGUAGGGUGCAAGCGUUAAUCGGAAUUACUGGGCGUAAAGCGUGCGCAGGCGGUUAUGCAAGACAGAGGUGAAAUCCCCGGGCUCAACCUGGGAACUGCCUUUGUGACUGCAUGGCUAGAGUACGGUAGAGGGGGAUGGAAUUCCGCGUGUAGCAGUGAAAUGCGUAGAUAUGCGGAGGAACACCGAUGGCGAAGGCAAUCCCCUGGACCUGUACUGACGCUCAUGCACGAAAGCGUGGGGAGCAAACAGGAUUAGAUACCCUGGUAGUCCACGCCCUAAACGAUGUCAACUGG